AGACGAAAUCUUGGAUAAAGUCAAACAAUACGAUAAGAUACUCGCAGAUGACGUAGAACUCAACACAAAAUUAAAAACCGUGGAGCUAGAAAGAGACAGGUUAUCACGCGAAGUCAAGAAGCUUCAAAAAGAACUUGAGGCGUUUGACCCGGCAUUCUUUGA